GGCGGCGACGAAGGAGAGGGUGGCGAGUCCACGGGAGCCCCACCGGCGACGCUGCACAUCCGGGGCGCCAGCGGCAACAAGUUCGCGGUGCAGGCCGACCUGGGCACCACCGUCGGGGCGUUCAAGGCGAUAGUCGCCCAGAGCUGCGACGUGCCAGCGCCGCAGCAGCGGCUGAUCUACAAGGGCCGGAUCUUGAAGGACGAGCAAACCCUAGCCAGCUACGGUGCGUGUACCUUCCUCACUAGGAAAGAAUGAAAAUCUUGCUCUUCUCUCACGAUUCUGCCUAUUAUACCGUGGUUGAUGAUGUGGUUAGUUAGAUUAUGUGCGUGUGCCCCACGCCUCCAGUUACGCCUAGUGUUAGUUGGUAGCACGCUAGAUGCAAUGCCUGGCCGUUUGACGAUGCAGGGUGCUGGUGCUUCAUUUGACGAUGUAUAUGGAUUAUGGAUCAUGACAUAGGUUUUUUUUCCAAUCAUUGUCUCUUGGUAGAUGCAGCAUGGUGGUUAGGAACUGGUUAGGAAUAGCCGCGGGCAUAGCCUAUGGCGUUGAUUCGUUUUGCAGCUUAGGUAACUUAUGCCAUAGAAGUGAAACGAACACUGAUUUGAUGACUCACCGGAAAUGUAGCUCCGAAUCAUGGAGCCAUGCAUGUGCGGGCGUUAAGUGUGCACUUCGCAUUGGUAAGUAAAAUUCUAGGUGGCUAUACAUGUGUUGGAUCGUAGAGUGCAACUGGUAGGCAUGCAGGAAUACAUGUUUCUUGCUGGAUGCGUGCAGCAUGAUGGCAUCAUAUCUUAUUGAUCAGCCAGUAGGAAGGCUUAUUAUUAUUUCUUUUGGGUUCCCGCCUAUAACUUUAUUUAGUUCGGUUUCAAGUGCUUUUUGUGAACAACUCACAUCUACGUGUAACGUUAUCUUCUACAGCUGGUAUGUCAGCAUGCUAUUAUUACUAUUGCUGCAUUAAGUUUUGUCGUGUUUUGACAACAACAUGAGCCAUCUUUUAUAGCAUUAUCCAUCUAGCACUCUCCGUGACAUGGAAAGGUUCUACAUCAAAUUAUUACUAAGCUUCAGUGUUUUACAAAAUUUGAUAUAUGCAUGUGAAAUCUUGUUGCAUACCUACUUUAGUUUGCACCACAAAUUAUGAGAUCAGAUACACAGGAGUUCUAUAGAUAUUUUUUUCGUAUCCAUAGCUUUGUUCUCAUUAAAAAAAAGUCCUCUCUAACCACUGUUACAUCAUUGAUUCAGUUGCAGACUGCACAAUAAGUUACAUAUAGUUUUUACGUUAUAUCUUCAAUAAUUUUCAUGUUUGGUCCUUGGCAAAGUUGCAAUAAGUUGGAAAUUUGGUAUAAAUUACAACAUGAGCAUGAUAUAUGUAGCUUGUUCACUUGGAACAGUUUUUAAUCAGAUAAGAAAUAAAAAAUGAAUAUUUCUUGCAAAUGUCAUGAAGUCCAUGUACUAAAACGGAACCAAAUGUGGACAGAUUCCUCAUGCUAAACUACUGGUGUUCCGCAGUAAAAAUAAAUAAAUCAAAUAUCGGUAGGUGACAAUUUUUUUAUUUUCAUGGAGGGAAAGAAUUUUGUGUUUCAGCAUUGACUGCAUGUUUAGUGUUGAGUCAUUAAGGUGUUGGCUGUUGCGCAGUUCAUUAGUUUUCCAAGUUUUGCUUAUUCUUAUGCUUUCUUCCCCUCUUGCAGGUGUGGAUACAGAUCACACCAUCCAUAUGGUGUGUGGUGCUGCACCACCAGCAACAGCAGCUGCACCGGCUGCAGCCAACCAUGGGACUUCAACUACUACUACUGCAAAUACUUCGCCUGCUGGUUUAGGAGGAUUGUUGCAAGGUCUGGGCGCUACAGGAACUGCUGGAACGGGGUUGGGUUUACCUGGCUCUGGCCUUGCAGGAUUGGAGCAGAUGCAACAGCAGUUGACUGAGAAUCCCAACUUAAUGAGGGAAAUAUUGAACAUGCCAGCCAUGCAGAGUUUAAUGAACAACCCUGAUAUAAUGCGUGAUAUGAUUAUGAACAAUCCUCAGAUGCGUGAGCUCAUUGAUCGUAAUCCGGAUCUGGCACAUGUCCUGAAUGAUCCAAGCAUCCUUCGUCAGACUGUUGAAGCGGCUAGGAAUCCUGAGCUUAUGAGGGAGAUGAUGCGGAACACAGACAGAGCAAUGAGCAACAUUGAAUCUUCUCCAGAAGGGUUCAAUAUGCUCCGCCGCAUGUAUGAAACUGUUCAAGAGCCAUUUCUGAAUGCAACAACAAUGGCUGGGGAGGGUGAUAGAAAUCCAAACCCGUUUGCAGCUCUUCUAGGAAACCAGGGGUCUAACCAAGCCAGAGAUCCAGCUGGAAAUGCACCAACUACUGCUUCAGAGUCCACGACAGGCUCUCCUGCUCCAAAUACUAAUCCGCUUCCAAAUCCCUGGAGUGCAAAUGGUAGGUUUUUGGUACCCCCACUCUUUUUGUUGCCGGUAUGUGCAUUUUGCUCUUGCCCUGUUUUGCUAUCUAAGUCUUAAAUCUACAGCUGGGUCUGCGCAAGGAGCGGCAAGGCCUUCUCCUGCUAGCAAUGCAAGGAGUGCCACUAGCGGUGGCCUAGGACUAGGAGGGUUGGGUUCUGCAGAUUUGGGAAGUAUGCUGGCUGGUGGCUCUGAUGCUUCCUUCUUGAACCAGGUUUUGCAAAACCCUACAAUGAUGCAAAUGAUGCAAAAUAUUAUGUCUAAUCCUCAGUCCAUGAAUCAGGUGCGCUGCUUCUAAUAUUUCAGUUCUGAAUAAUUUACUAGGAACCUACUUCUUGAGCAGAGUACAUACUGUUCUGACCCUGUCAUGAUGUUUUCUUGUUUGCAGUUGCUCAACAUGAACCCAAAUGUACGUAACAUGAUGGAAUCAAAUUCCCAGAUGAGAGAAAUGUUUCAGAAUCCAGAAUUUCUUCGACAGUUGACGUCUCCCGAAACAUUGCAGGUGAAAUUAGUGAUACUACUUUAGUUAUAUGUGACUACUGUAUGGAAGACUAAAUAGCCUCUCUUUUUUGCAGCAACUGAUUUCAUUCCAGCAGGCUAUGACGUCCCAACUUGGUCAACAACAAGCUGGCCAGUGAGUAUCUUGAGCUCAACUUGACCUCCUUAGCUCAUGAGGUCUUUGAUUACCUUUUCUUUUCUGCAAGCGACUUUUCCUUGUUGAACCUAAAAUGUAGAGGUUUGGUAUUAAUUAUUUGCUGGUAAUAUGGUAAGCCUUGCUCUAUGCUGUGUUUGUUUAAUAUGUUUUCUUGUUUGAUUCAGGGAGCGGACGCAAGCAGGAACUGGUGCAGGUAAUUUCGUCUACCUAUUCACCAUCUUUCCAUCUGAAUGAUCUUUCAUAGCAUUCAUGCAUCAGCUUUCUGUCCGAGUUAUUUAGAUUGUGUUAUUGAUGGCUGUCUUUUACAUGCUGUUUUUCAGCAUUGCUUUCCCUUUCCAUAAGGUUUGAUUUUGACAUUUUGUAUCAAGAAGUAGAACAUUAGAGAGCUAAGAUUUCCCAACCUGUUUGGGGUCUUUACCUUUGUCAUAUAAAUUGCAAGAAAACAUAUGAGCAACAGACUGUAUACUAGGAAACAGAUUUGUGUUUUCUGAUUUGGCCAUUACUUUCUUUCCAAUAUUUUUUAGAUACCUGAUCCGACUUCUUUAUGAGAAGUCGAUGUUUUUUUUGGUAUUAUCCUUGCAAACUUGCCGCAAACCUAAGGGCUUCCACAGUGUGCCAAAUGCUUGCCACCUAGAUCUCUAAUUUGGCACUGAUGCUAAAUUCUAAUUUUUCUACAAUGUAGAUGAAGCCAAAUUUGCAUGCAAGUAGGACUCACCAAUGAAUAAACUACCCUAAACUACUCCAUCAUACAUUCUUCCCUGUCUCUCCCAACCGCACAAGCCACACCAAGAUAAGUCGAGAAGUGAAUCCUGCCACCGCCUGCGCCCACCUCCGCCCCUGCACGGCCGCUGCGACCCCCUCCGCCAAUGCCCAUUGCCACCCCUGCCUGCGCAGCCGGCGACCCCCUCCGCCUGCGCCCCUGCAUGGCCGAGACCACCCCAGCCCAUGCCUGUCGCGGCCUCUGCCUGCCCCCACCGCUGUCCAGCAGCUCAGCCCAGUGCCUCCACGAUUCUCCGCUGUCCUCUUCCCAGUCUCUAUUUUUUAUUCUCCAGCCAAGUUUGGCACCGGAGCAGCUACUUGCUCUGGUUCCCUCUUUUUUUCCUUUUGGCAACGCCUCCACAGUGUUGUUUACCGGUGCCAAAUGCCAAAUUUGGUAUUUGGCACCCCUAUUUGGCAUACAUUGUGGAGGCCCUAAUGUGCUUAGGCCUAUAGCUGUUUAAUUCCUUCGGUAUUUAUUUGUUAGUUUUUCUAAUGAUUGAUGCGUGAAAAUUACUUGAAUGCUAGGCAAUGUUAACCUCAACACCUUGAUGAACAUGUUCAGUGGGCUUGGUGGUGGUUUGGGUGUUCCAAAUGCCCCGAAUGGUUAGUAGAUGCACUUCAUAGUUUCACAUCGGAAGUGAUGUUACCAAGCCACUGUACAUUUUCAUAAGCCUUGCUCAUUCAUUCAGUUUCCACAUUCGCAGUGCCACCGGAAGAACUAUAUGCAACACAGCUAGCUCAGCUCCAAGAAAUGGGUUUCUUUGACCCACAGGAGAACAUCCGAGCAUUGGUCGCCACUGCUGGAAAUGUGAAUGCUGCAGUGGAGCGACUUCUUGGGAAUUUUGGGCAAUAGAAGAUGAUCGAAGUUCUCUGCCUGGUGUUACCUGUAGUUCGCACCUUGAGAUUAUCUGGUUCGUUGAUUUUAUACCUGGUCAGAUUAAAAGGCAACAUCUAGAUUCUAUGUUUUAAGAUGAAUAAACCAGUCUCUACUGGCUAUCCUUUGCAUACAUGGGUCCUGUGUCUUGUGGUUAAAUUGUGGUAUAUUGGUACCUUGAGUCGGUGUACAACUGUACAUACAUGUUGGUACUAUGGGGUCUCAUUGAGUGUACAUGACUGUUGUUUUCCUACUUGGUGAGCUAACCAUCCGUAUGUUGCUGACUUCUUCAUUGAAGAUGUCCUUUUUUUUAGGGAGAACAUGUCCUAGUUUUCUGUACAUGGGAUUUGAAAAGCUCUUGUUCAGUGAAAGUGAGCACGGCGCCUGAACCGCCUGCCGUUGCCUUUUUGGUUGAGACAGCCAACCUCAUGACGGUCUAUGUGAUCUACACAUACGUAGCCUCGUUGCUGAGAAAUUCACAAAAUGUCGUGCUCAGUACCUUUUUUUGGUGUUUGUCCCAAACGCACACGUAUCCUUUCAUUAGACAAAAUGAACUCUUUUCUUUGGAAAUUUAGCAAUUUUUUUAUAACUCACUUUUUGCAUCUGAACCCAUAUGCCAAAUUUUUCAGAACGAGAUUGCCCCUGCCUUUUCUACUUCGAUGCCAGUUAGGUGGUUGUAAAUUUGUGUAACGCAAUAUUGUUGACGGAAUUUCCUUAAAAAAAAUCCCAGUUAGGCCUAAUUCGGUUGCACUAUUCCGGCUGGUAAUGGAAUGGAUUGGGGGAAAAUUGAACUCAAUUUGAUCAAUUCUCCGUUGAUCCCCGCCGGAAAUGGUAGAUCCCAACGGGCCCUUAGGGAAACGCGGUUUACCAGUUUACUAGACAACGCAAUAUUGUUGACAGAAUUUCCUUCAAAAAAUUAUAUUGUUGACGUAAGAAACGUACUCUCAGCAUAGCACAGUCCGAUACACAAUACGUACUUCUCAGAACUACGUUUCCCGGCUGUCUCUCCGACGACGGGCCUAGAAUCUUCUCCUAUCCGCACCGACCCUGACAGCCCAUUCCACGUAGGGCCCACCUAGCACACGCCGUCUCCACAUCACGGAAGGAAUCGCAGCCGUCCAUCCAUCAUCGAUCAACCCCUGUCUCACGCCACGGUCGUCUCAGCCCAGAGUUAUUCCUCGCUGCCUUGCCUUCCCUUCCCUUCCCUUCUUCCUCCUCCAGCGCACGGCGUGUACAAAAGCCAGAAAAAAGAGGGGAACGAACAAACGCCUCGCACACACAACGACAAGAACAAAGUCUCAAACCCCUCCAGAGCACUCGCCGGACCCCGAAUCGGAGCGGAAUCCCGGCCGAAUCGAGGCCUAGGGCUAGAGACGGGAUGGGUGGCGGCGAAGGAGAGGGUGGCGAGUCCGCGGGAGCCCCGCCCGCGACGCUGCACAUCCGGGGCGCCAGCGGCAACAAGUUCGCGGUGCAGGCCGACCUGGGCACAACCGUCGGGGCGUUCAAGGCGAUCGUCGCCCAGAGCUGCGACGUGCCGGCGCCGCAGCAGCGGCUGAUCUACAAGGGCCGGAUCUUGAAGGACGAGCAAACCCUAGCCAGCUACGGUGCGUGUACCUUCCUCCUCACUAGGAAAGAAGGAAAAUCUUGCUAUUUUCUCGCGAUUCUGUCUAAUAUGCCUCUAAUAUGCCGUGGUUGAUGAUGUGGUUAGUUAGGACCUGUGCGUGUGCUCCACGCCUCCAGUUACGCCUAGUGUUAGUUGGUAGUACGCUAGAUGCAAUGCCUGCCUUGCCGUUUGACGAUGCAGGGUGCUGGUGCUUCCUUUGACGAUGUAUUCGGAUUAUGUCGUAGGUUUUUUCCAAUCAUUGUCUCUUGGUAAAUGCAGCAUGGUGGUU
rnacentral:lncRNA from 1 species